rnacentral:sRNA from 1 species
GGACCUCCUGCAGUGCUUGUUAAAACGACCGAUUCCGGGGCUCCCUUCAGAAUUCUUGAGCAUCUAUGGGUCUUGCAGAUAUGAUGUCUCCUGGUGAAUCCAAACUGCCCCUGCCUCUCAAAGCAGACGGCAAAGAAGAAGGCACUCCACAGCCCGAGAGCAAGUCAAAGAAGUCCAGCUCCUCCACCACUACUGGGGAGAAGAUCACGAAGGUGUACGAGCUGGGGAAUGAGCCAGAGAGAAAGCUCUGGGUCGACCGAUACCUCACCUUCAUGGAAGAGAGAGGCUCUCCUGUCUCGAGUCUGCCUGCUGUGGGCAAGAAGCCCCUGGACCUGUUCCGACUCUACGUCUGCGUCAAAGAGAUCGGGGGUUUGGCCCAGGUUAAUAAAAACAAGAAGUGGCGUGAGCUGGCAACCAACCUAAACGUUGGCACCUCAAGCAGUGCAGCGAGCUCCCUGAAAAAGCAGUAUAUUCAGUACCUGUUUGCCUUUGAGUGCAAGAUCGAACGUGGGGAGGAGCCCCCGCCGGAAGUCUUCAGCACCGGGGACACCAAAAAGCAGCCCAAGCUCCAGCCGCCAUCUCCUGCUAACUCGGGAUCCUUGCAAGGCCCACAGACCCCCCAGUCAACUGGCAGCAAUUCCAUGGCAGAGGUUCCAGGUGACCUGAAGCCACCUACCCCAGCCUCCACCCCUCACGGCCAGAUGACCCCAUUGCAAGGUGGAAGAAGCAGUACAAUCAGUGUGCACGACCCAUUCUCAGACGUGAGUGAUUCAUCCUUCCCGAAACGGAACUCCAUGACUCCAAACGCCCCCUACCAGCAGGGCAUGAGCAUGCCCGAUGUGAUGGGCAGGAUGCCCUAUGAGCCCAACAAGGACCCCUUUGGGGGAAUGAGAAAAGUGCCUGGAAGCAGCGAGCCCUUUAUGACGCAAGGACAGAUGCCCAACAGCAGCAUGCAGGACAUGUACAACCAAAGUCCCUCCGGAGCAAUGUCUAACCUGGGCAUGGGGCAGCGCCAGCAGUUUCCCUAUGGAGCCAGUUACGACCGAAGGCAUGAACCUUAUGGGCAGCAGUAUCCAGGCCAAGGCCCUCCCUCGGGACAGCCGCCGUAUGGAGGGCACCAGCCCGGCCUGUACCCACAGCAGCCGAAUUACAAACGCCAUAUGGACGGCAUGUACGGGCCCCCAGCCAAGCGCCACGAGGGCGACAUGUACAACAUGCAGUACAGCAGCCAGCAGCAGGAGAUGUACAACCAGUACGGAGGCUCCUACUCGGGCCCGGACCGCAGGCCCAUCCAGGGCCAGUACCCGUAUCCCUACAGCAGGGAGAGGAUGCAGGGCCCGGGGCAGAUCCAGACACACGGAAUCCCGCCUCAGAUGAUGGGCGGCCCGCUGCAGUCGUCCUCCAGUGAGGGGCCUCAGCAGAAUAUGUGGGCAGCACGCAAUGAUAUGCCUUAUCCCUACCAGAACAGGCAGGGCCCUGGCGGCCCUACACAGGCGCCCCCUUACCCAGGCAUGAACCGCACGGACGAUAUGAUGGUACCCGAUCAGAGGAUAAAUCAUGAGAGCCAGUGGCCUUCUCACGUCAGCCAGCGUCAGCCUUAUAUGUCGUCCUCAGCCUCCAUGCAGCCCAUCACACGCCCACCACAGCCGUCCUACCAGACGCCACCGUCACUGCCAAAUCACAUCUCCAGGGCGCCCAGCCCAGCGUCCUUCCAGCGCUCCCUGGAGAACCGCAUGUCUCCAAGCAAGUCUCCCUUUCUGCCGUCUAUGAAGAUGCAGAAGGUCAUGCCCACGGUCCCCACAUCCCAGGUCACCGGGCCACCACCCCAACCACCCCCAAUCAGAAGGGAGAUCACCUUUCCUCCUGGCUCAGUAGAAGCAUCACAACCAGUCUUGAAACAAAGGCGAAAGAUUACCUCCAAAGAUAUCGUUACUCCUGAGGCGUGGCGUGUGAUGAUGUCCCUUAAAUCAGGUCUUUUGGCUGAGAGUACGUGGGCUUUGGACACUAUUAAUAUUCUUCUGUAUGAUGACAGCACUGUUGCUACUUUCAAUCUCUCCCAGUUGUCUGGAUUUCUCGAACUUUUAGUCGAGUACUUUAGAAAAUGCCUGAUUGACAUUUUUGGAAUUCUUAUGGAAUAUGAAGUGGGAGACCCCAGCCAAAAAGCACUUGACCACAACGCAGCAAGGAAGGAUGACAGCCAGUCCUUGGCGGACGAUUCUGGGAAAGAGGAGGAAGAUGCUGAAUGUAUUGAUGACGACGAGGAAGACGAGGAGGAUGAGGAGGAAGACAGCGAGAAGACAGAAAGCGAUGAAAAGAGCAGCAUCGCUCUGACUGCCCUGGACGCCGCUGCAGACCCAAAGGAGAAGCCCAAGCAAGCCAGUAAGUUCGACAAGCUGCCAAUAAAGAUAGUCAAAAAGAACAACCUGUUUGUUGUUGACCGAUCUGACAAGUUGGGGCGUGUGCAGGAGUUCAAUAGUGGCCUUCUGCACUGGCAGCUCGGCGGGGGCGACACCACCGAGCACAUUCAGACUCACUUUGAGAGCAAGAUGGAAAUUCCUCCUCGCAGGCGCCCACCUCCCCCCUUAAGCUCCGCAGGUAGAAAGAAAGAGCAAGAAGGCAAAGGCGACUCUGAAGAGCAGCAAGAGAAAAGCAUCAUAGCAACCAUCGAUGACGUCCUCUCUGCUCGGCCAGGGGCAUUGCCUGAAGACGCAAACCCUGGGCCCCAGACCGAAAGCAGUAAGUUUCCCUUUGGUAUCCAGCAAGCCAAAAGUCACCGGAACAUCAAGCUGCUGGAGGACGAGCCCAGGAGCCGAGACGAGACUCCUCUGUGUACCAUCGCGCACUGGCAGGACUCGCUGGCUAAGCGAUGCAUCUGUGUGUCCAAUAUUGUCCGUAGCUUGUCAUUCGUGCCUGGCAAUGAUGCCGAAAUGUCCAAACAUCCAGGCCUGGUGCUGAUCCUGGGGAAGCUGAUUCUUCUUCACCACGAGCAUCCAGAGAGAAAGCGAGCACCGCAGACCUAUGAGAAAGAGGAGGACGAGGACAAGGGGGUGGCCUGCAGCAAAGAUGAGUGGUGGUGGGACUGCCUCGAGGUCUUGAGGGAUAACACGUUGGUCACGUUGGCCAACAUUUCCGGGCAGCUAGACUUGUCUGCUUACACGGAAAGCAUCUGCUUGCCAAUUUUGGAUGGCUUGCUGCACUGGAUGGUGUGCCCGUCUGCAGAGGCACAAGAUCCCUUUCCAACUGUGGGACCCAACUCGGUCCUGUCGCCUCAGAGACUUGUGCUGGAGACCCUCUGUAAACUCAGUAUCCAGGACAAUAAUGUGGACCUGAUCUUGGCCACUCCUCCAUUUAGUCGUCAGGAGAAAUUCUAUGCUACAUUAGUUAGGUACGUUGGGGAUCGCAAAAACCCAGUCUGUCGAGAAAUGUCCAUGGCGCUUUUAUCGAACCUUGCCCAAGGGGACGCACUAGCAGCAAGGGCCAUAGCUGUGCAGAAAGGAAGCAUUGGAAACUUGAUAAGCUUCCUAGAGGAUGGGGUCACGAUGGCCCAGUACCAGCAGAGCCAGCACAACCUCAUGCACAUGCAGCCCCCGCCCCUGGAACCACCUAGCGUAGACAUGAUGUGCAGGGCGGCCAAGGCUUUGCUAGCCAUGGCCAGAGUGGACGAAAACCGCUCGGAAUUCCUUUUGCACGAGGGCCGGUUGCUGGAUAUCUCGAUAUCAGCUGUCCUGAACUCUCUGGUUGCAUCUGUCAUCUGUGAUGUACUGUUUCAGAUUGGGCAGUUAUGACAUAAGUGAGAAGGCAAGCAUGUGUGAGUGAAGAUUAGAGGGUCACAUAUAACUGGCUGUUUUCUGUUCUUGUUUAUCCAGCGUAGGAAGAAGGAAAAGAAAAUCUUUGCUCCUCUGCCCCAUUCACUAU